AGAGUUUGAUUAUGGCUCAGGAUGAACGCUGGCGGUAUGCUUAACACAUGCAAGUCGAACGGUCUCUUCGGAGAUAGUGGCGGACGGGUGAGUAACGCGUGAGAAUCUGCCUUCAGGUCUGGGACAACCAUUGGAAACGGUGGCUAAUACCGGAUGAGCAGAGAUGUGAAAGAUUAAUUGCCUGAAGAGGAGCUCGCGUCUGAUUAGCUAGUUGGUGGGGUAAGAGCUUACCAAGGCGACGAUCAGUAGCUGGUCUGAGAGGACGAUCAGCCACACUGGGACUGAGACACGGCCCAGACUCCUACGGGAGGCAGCAGUGGGGAAUUUUCCGCAAUGGGCGAAAGCCUGACGGAGCAAUACCGCGUGAGGGAGGAAGGCUCUUGGGUCGUAAACCUCUUUUCUCAGGGAAGAAAAAAAUGACGGUACCUGAGGAAUAAGCAUCGGCUAACUCCGUGCCAGCAGCCGCGGUAAUACGGAGGAUGCAAGCGUUAUCCGGAAUGAUUGGGCGUAAAGCGUCCGCAGGUGGCUAUGUAAGUCUGCUGUUAAAGAGCAAGGCUCAACCUUGUAAAAGCGGUGGAAACUACAUAGCUAGAGUGCGUUCGGGGCAGAGGGAAUUCCUGGUGUAGCGGUGAAAUGCGUAGAGAUCAGGAAGAACACCGGUGGCGAAAGCGCUCUGCUAGGCCGCAACUGACACUGAGGGACGAAAGCUAGGGGAGCGAAUGGGAUUAGAUACCCCAGUAGUCCUAGCCGUAAACGAUGGAUACUAGCGUGGCUUGUAUCGACCCGAGCCG
rnacentral:rRNA from 1 species